rnacentral:rRNA from 1 species
AGAUUGAACGCUGGCGGCAUGCUUUACACAUGCAAGUCGAACGGUAACAGGCCGCAAGGUGCUGACGAGUGGCGAACGGGUGAGUAAUGCAUCGGAACGUGCCCAGUCGUGGGGGAUAACGCAGCGAAAGCUGUGCUAAUACCGCAUACGAUCUAUGGAUGAAAGCGGGGGACCGAAAGGCCUCGCGCGAUUGGAGCGGCCGAUGUCAGAUUAGCUAGUUGGUGGGGUAAAGGCCCACCAAGGCGACGAUCUGUAGCUGGUCUGAGAGGACGACCAGCCACACUGGAACUGAGACACGGUCCAGACUCCGUACGGGAGGCAGCAGGUGGGGAAUUUUGGACAAGUGGGCGCAAGCCUGAUCCAGCAAUGCCGCGUGCGAGGAAGAAGGUCCGUUACGGGUUAGUAAACGUGUACUUUUGGUAACCGGUAACGUAAACGGUUCGUUAGGGUUAAUACCGUCGGACUUAAGUGUAACGGUUAACCGUAAG